AGAUGUGAACGCUACUUAGCUGCAACAUUUGUUACCCUGUUGAUUGCCAGGGUUGACUCGGUUGAUCGUGCUGACUACGAGAGCAUCUCCUAUCUUCCUCUCUGUUCCAUGUAUAUCCCUCCUGAAACUACCAGACUUCUAUUUAAUAAAGAGGACAAGAUUCCUAGAAUAGAGAUAGAUCAGUCUUCAGUCAAGGAAAUCUGAGUAGCUAUGGUCUCCUACUAGAAUCCCCCUCCCCCCAAAAAAAAAUCACUCAAAAAUGAAAAAUCCUGAAAUUAAGAAACUCAGUUUUUGAGGCUAAUAGACU
rnacentral:snRNA from 1 species